AGGAGGAAGGUGAACAUGGAUUUCUUCGAGACACUCAAAAGUAGGCUCGACUAUGGCAGCAUUGGUCAGUCAAUCAAUCCAGAGAGCAAAAGACCAUGGGUCACACUGGUAACUGCACAAAGCUGCAACAGAAGCUCAGGCUCACCAGAGAGGGAACGGAGAAUGAAGGAUGGUGAUCAGACACCCAAAGAAUUACCUCAAAACACUAACAAGACUCCAGCAGAAGCAACAUCCAGCGCAGCCGAAGCAAAGCAUCAGAGGAAGAGGACAUGGGCCACUUUUGUAGCCUCACAUAGUGGGACAAGAACACCAGGCACUGGCUCACCAAAGAG